ACUUAAAUAGCUUAAAUUUAAAGCAUAAUAUUGAAGAUAUUAAUAUAAUUAUAUAAUUUUUAAGUA
rnacentral:tRNA from 1 species